CUUUCUUUUUUUUUUAAGGGAGCCAGCCUUCCCCGGAACAGUUGGGUCCACCGCUGCGGGAGGGGAAUAGAGAUGCGCAUCCCUGGCGCCCCAGCGUCGUCUGCGGCCUUCUGCCCCGUGGUUACCGUUUUCCGUGGCUUCCCCGAGACACUCCCUGCCCUGGACGCGGCCUCUGACUCCAGCAUCCACUCCAGUAAAUAGCCCCGACCUGGACAGCUUGCGCAGGCAGCUUUGUUGGCAUUUCAGAUUUGAGAUGAUUUCCUCGGGCAUGAUUCCCAGAAGCGAAAUCGGGUAGGAGAAGUGCAUUUGCCUGUAAGGGCCGUGGUUGGCACAGCCAAACGUCUGCCUGGUCCAGUGGUGCCAAUGUAUCCGACCACCCGCAGUGCACAGGCAAAACCUUGCUUGCAGAAGGGUGGGAUAGUUUGGUUUCAUCUCUUUCCCAGAUUUUUAAAGUACUGUUGAAGAUAUUAAGCAAUUUAAAAAGUAAUUUUACCUAUAA